rnacentral:rRNA from 1 species
UACGUAGGGCGCAAGCGUUGUCCGGAAUUAUUGGGCGUAAAGAGCGUGUAGGCGGCCAUACAGGUCAGCUGUGAAAACUCGAGGCUCAACCUCGAGACGUCGGUUGAAACCGUAUGGCUAGAGUCCGGAAGAGGAGAGUGGAAUUCCCGGUGUAGCGGUGAAAUGCGCAGAUAUCGGGAAGAACACCCGUGGCGAAGGCGGCUCUCUGGGACGGUACUGACGCUGAGACGCGAAAGCGUGGGGAGCGAACAGG